UACGGAGGGUGCAAGCGUUAUCCGGAAUCACUGGGUUUAAAGGGUGCGUAGGCGGUCUGAUAAGUCAGUUGUGAAAUUCCUCGGCUUAACCGAGUGGACUGCGAUUGAUACUGUCAGACUUGAAUCAGGUUGAGGUAGGCGGAAUGUGACAUGUAGCGGUGAAAUGCGCAGAUAUCAGGAGGAACACCGGUGGCGAAGGCGGGUCUCUGGGCCGAAACUGACGCUGAGGAGCGAAAGCGUGGGGAGCAAACAGG
rnacentral:rRNA from 1 species